rnacentral:tRNA from 2 species
GCCCUGUUCGUCUAGCGGCCCAGGACGCGGCCCUCUCAAGGCCGAAACACGAGUUCGAGUCUCGUACGGGGCA